AUGGCGUCUCCUUCUCCCCUGCCAGCGGCGCUGCUAGCCGUGUGCGCCUUGCUCGCCGCCAUGGCGCUCUUCCAGGGCGCGCGGGCGCAGCAGCUGAGCCCGGCCUACUACGACGAGUCGUGCCCGCACGUCUACGACACGGUGCGGCGCGUCAUCCAGGAGGCGCGCACCGCCGACCCGCGCAUCCUCGCCAGCCUUGUCCGUCUCCAGUUCCACGACUGCUUCGUCAACGGCUGCGACGGGUCGCUGCUGCUGGACGACGGCCCGGCGAUAAACAGCGAGAAGAACGCCGCCCCGUACAACAACUCGGCGCGCGGGUUCCCGGUGGUGGACGACAUCAAGGCCGCCCUGGAGAGCGCGUGCCCCGGCGUCGUCUCCUGCGCCGACAUCGUCGCGCUCGCCGCCGAGGUCUCCGUCGAGCUGGCGGGAGGGCCCUACUGGAGGGUGCUGCUGGGCCGGAGGGACGACAGGACGGCCAACUUCGACGCCGCCGACAACCUCCCGGGCCCCACGGACGCCCUCAACGUCCUUAGGCAGAAGUUCGCCGACGUCGGCCUCGACGACACCGAUUUCGUCGCCCUCCAAGGAGCACACACGAUCGGCCGGGCGCAGUGCAGGUUCUUCCAGGACAGGCUCGACAACUUCGCCGGCACCGGGCAGCCGGACCCGACGCUGGACGGGGCGUACCUGUCCGCCCUGCGACAGAGCUGCCCGGCGGCGGGCGCCGACGAGCGCCUCAACAACCUCGACCCGGCCACGCCGGACGCGUUCGACAACAGCUACUACCGCAACCUCCUGCACAACCGCGGCCUGCUCCGGUCCGACCAGGUGAUGCUCUCCGCGCCAGACGGUGCCGCGGCCUCCACGGCGCCCAUCGUCGAGCGGUUCGCCGCCAGCCAGGCCGACUUCUUCCGGAGCUUCGCCACGGCGAUGAUCAAGAUGGGCAACAUCGCCCCGCUGACCGGAAGCAUGGGGGAGGUUAGGAGGAACUGCAGGGUGGUGAACAGAAGCUGA
rnacentral:rRNA from 1 species